AUUGAACGCUGGCGGCAGGCCUAACACAUGCAAGUCGAGCGGAUGAAGGGAGCUUGCUCCUGGAUUCAGCGGCGGACGGGUGAGUAAUGCCUGGGAAUCUGCCUGGUAGUGGGGGAUAACGUCCGGAAACGGGCGCUAAUACCGCAUACGUCCUGAGGGAGAAAGUGGGGGAUAUUCGGACCUCACGCUAUCUGAUGAGCCUAGGUCGGAUUAGCUAGUUGGUGGGGUAAAGGCCUACCAAGGCGACGAUCCGUAACUGGUCUGAGAGGAUGAUCAGUCACACUGGAACUGAGACACGGUCCAGACUCCUACGGGAGGCAGCAGUGGGGAAUAUUGGACAAUGGGCGAAAGCCUGAUCCAGCCAUGCCGCGUGUGUGAAGAAGGUCUUCGGAUUGUAAAGCACUUUAAGUUGGGAGGAAGGGCAGUAAGUUAAUACCUUGCUGUUUUGACGUUACCAACAGAAUAAGCACCGGCUAACUUCGUG
rnacentral:rRNA from 1 species